rnacentral:rRNA from 1 species
UACAGAGGGUGCAAGCGUUAUUCGGAAUCACUGGGCGUAAAGCGCAUGUAGGCGGUUUGAUAAGUCUGAUGUGAAAGCCCUGGGUACAACUCAGGAAGUGCAUCGGAUACUGUCAGGCUUGAGUGCGGGAGGGGGGAAUGGAAUUCCAGGUGUAGAGGUGAAAUUCGUAGAUAUCUGGAGGAACAACAGUGGCGAAGGCGAUUCCCUGGACCGUUACUGACGCUGAGAUGCGAAAGCGUGGGGAGCAAACAGG